UCGCGUGUCCUGGACCCGAAGCGGGAUGAUCUAGCCCUGAGCAGGUUGAAGCGCGGGUAAGACCGCGUGGAGGACCGAACCCACCUGGGUUGAAAACCGGGGGGAUGACUUGGGGCUAGGGGUGAAAGGCCAAUCAAAUUCCGUGAUAGCUGGUUCUCUCCGAAAUGCAUUUGGGUGCAGCGUCGGGUCAUUACGUCCCGGGGGUAGAGCUACUGGAUGCUUGCGGGCCCGUAUCGGGUACCAACAGCAACCAAACUCCGAAUACCGGUGACGCGUAUCCCGGCAGUGAGUCGGCGGGGGAUAAGCUUCGUCGUCGAAAGGGAAACAGCCCAGACCGUCGUCUAAGGUCCCGAAGCGUGUGCUAAGUGGGAAAGGAUGUGGAGUCGCAUAGACAGCCAGGAGGUUGGCUCAGAAGCAGCCACCCUUGAAAGAGUGCGUAACAGCUCACUGGUCUAGUGGUUCCGCGCCGACAAUGUAGCGGGGCUCAAGCACACCACCGAAGACGCGGCAGUAUUUUGUACUGGGUAGGAGAGCGUCCCAUGAGGGGCGAAGCGGCCGUGUGAACGCGCCGUGGACUUCAUGGGAGUGAGAAUGCAGACAUGAGUAGCGAGAGACGGGUGAAGAUCCCGUCCGCUGGAUGACCAAGGGUUCCAGGGCCACGUUCAUCGUCCCUGGGUGAGUCGGGUCCUAAGGCGAGGCCGACAGGCGUAGUCGAAUGGAUGAACGGGUCGAUAUUCCCGUACCGGCUUUCAGCCGCCAAAACCGAGGCUUGGAGUACUAACCUCCGGGUCCGGGCUUACUGCUCCUUCGGGGGCGGGAUGCCCUGGCCUGUUGGGACCGAUCCUUGUAGUAGGUCAGCGCAGGAGUGACGCAGAAGGGUAGCCGGCCGCGGAGGUGGUCUUCCGUGGUCAAGCACGCAGGGCGUGGGACAGGCAAAUCCGUCCCGCAUGGGUCCGAGGUGCGAUGAUGGGGGCCUUAUGGCCCGAUAUCCGGUGAUCCCGGCUGCCGAGAAAAGCUUCGGCGUCAGGCUCGAAGCCGCCCGUACCCCAAACCGACACUGGUGGUCAGGUAGAGAAUACCAAAGCGAUCGAGCGAAUCCUGGUCAAGGAACUCGGCAAAUCACUCCCGUUCCUUCGGUUUAAGGGAGACCCCCGAUGGUGAACACACUUGCUGUGGGAGCUUUUGGGGGUGGCACAGACCAGGGGGUAGCGACUGUUUACCAAAAACACAGGUGCAUGCGAAGGCGCAAGCCGCUGUAUAUGCACUGACGCCUGCCCGGUGCCGGAAGGUUAAGAGGAUCCGUCAGCCUUCGGGUGAAGCGGUGAAUUCAAGCCCCGGUAAACGGCGGUGGUAACUAUAACCAUCCUAAGGUAGCGAAAUUCCUUGUCGGGUAAGUUCCGACCUGCACGAAUGGCGUAACGACUUCCCCACUGUCUCGACCAGGAGCUCGGCGAAAUUGCAGUACGAGUAAAGAUGCUCGUUAAGCGCAGAAGGACGAAAAGACCCCGGGACCUUUACUAUACCUUGGUAUUGGCAUUCGGUGUGGAUUGUGUAGCAUAGGCGGGAGGCCGAGAGGCGCGGUCGCCAGAUCGCGCGGAGCCGUAAGGUGAAAUACCGCUCUGUUCGCAUUGGAUGUCUAACCUCGAACAGUCAUCCUGUUCAGGGACAGUGCCUGGCGGGUAGUUUAACUGGGGCGGUUGCCUCCCAAAGAGUAACGGAGGCGCCCAAAGGUCCGCUCAGCCCGGUUGGCAAUCGGGUGGCGAGUGCAAGUGCACAAGCGGGCUUGACUGCGAGGACGACGGUCCGAGCAGGGACGAAAGUCGGGACUAGUGAUCCGGUGCCGGU
rnacentral:rRNA from 1 species